GCACACAAUACAGAGAUCAUCAUGGCCACUGCACAAGGAUGCCAUGCAAAUUCAUCAACGGUCCCAUAUUUUU
ensembl:snRNA Gm25049 predicted gene, 25049